GAUGAACGCUGGCGGCGUGCCUAAUACAUGCAAGUCGAGCGAACAGACGAGGAGCUUGCACCUCUGACGUUAGCGGCGGACGGGUGAGUAACACGUGGAUAACCUACCUAUAAGACUGGGAUAACUUCGGGAAACCGGAGCUAAUACUGGAUAAUAUAUUGAACCGCAUGGUUCAAUAGUGAAAGACGGUUUUGCUGUCACUUAUAGAUGGAUCCGCGCCGCAUUAGCUAGUUGGUAAGGUAACGGCUUACCAAGGCAACGAUGCGUAGCCGACCUGAGAGGGUGAUCGGCCACACUGGAACUGGGACACGGUCCAGACUCCUACGGGAGGCAGCAGUAGGGAAUCUUCCGCAAAGGGCGAAAGCCUGACGGAGCAACGCCGCGUGAGUGAUGAAGGUCUUCGGAUCGUAAAACUCUGUUAUUAGGGAAGAACAAAUGUGUAAGUAACUAUGCACGUCUUGACGGUACCUAGUCAGAAAGCCACGGCUAACUACGUG
rnacentral:rRNA from 1 species